GCUACGGGUGGCAGCAGUGAGGAAUAUUGGUCAAUGGCCGCAGGGCUGAACCAGCCAAGUCGCGUGAGGGAUGACGGUCCUAUGGCUUGUAAACCUCUUUUGUCAGGGAGCAAAGGGCGCCACGUGUUGCGCUUUGCGAGUACCUGAAGAAAAAGCAUCGGCUAACUCCGUGGCAGCAGCCGCGGUAAUACGGAUGAUCCGAGCAUUUUCCGGAUUGAUUGGGUUUAAAGGGCGCUUAGAUGGGGUGUUAAGUCAGUUGGGAAAGUUUGCGGCUCAACCGUAAAAUUGCAAUUGAUACUGGCAGUCUGGAGGACAGGUGAGGUAGGCGGAAUUCGUGGUGUAGCGGUGAAAUGCUUAGAUAUCACGAAGAACCCCGAUUGCGAAGGCAGCUUACUAAACUGUGACUGACAUUGAUGCUCGAAAGUGUGGGUAUCAAACAGGAUUAGAUACCCUAGUAGUC
rnacentral:rRNA from 1 species